AAGUUGGAAAAAAAAGAAACGUUGUAAAGUUAACGUUGCAAUUGAUGAACGUUGCACAAAGUUCUUAAGCAAUAAUUAUUAUACUGAUGACGUUCUUUUGCAAUUAUAAUUAUAUUGUAAAUCAGUUUUCAAGUUGAGGGAGUUGGUUAGGCCUGAUGGGGUGACAUACAAGUGGUUGGUUGGAGGGUACUGUGAUAAGGGUGAUUUGGUUGAGGCUUCCAAAGUUUGGACCUUGAUGGGGGAUGAGCGGUUUGAGCCUGAUGUGGAUGCUGUUGAGAAAAUGAUGGAGACCUUUUUUAAGGUGAAUUAGUAUGGUGAGGCUUUGAGGCUCUUUGAUACAAUGAGGUUCAAGAGGAUGGAUGAACUUGGGGUUUCAACUUAUGGGCGCAUGAAGUUUUUGAGGAAAUGCGCGAGAGGGGUGUUCGAGUCGAUAACUCCACUCUGGGGCAUGUUGCGUAUGGACUUAUGACUAGGCGUAGAGUUAGAGAGGCUUAUAAAGUUGUUGAGGAGAUUGAGGCGCCGGAUUUGAGCGUGUAUCAUGGUUGAUAAAGGGGCUUUUGAGGCUGAGAAGGGCGAGUGAGGUGACGCAGGUGUUUGGGGAAAUGGUAAGAAGAGAUUGCAAACCGAAUAUGCAUACAUACAUAAUGCUGCUGCUAGGGCAUUCGGGGAGGAGGAGGAGGAAGGGGUCUGAUCCGCUUGUUAAUUUUGAUACUAUUUUUGUUGGGGGUAUGGUGAAGACAGGGAAGUCGAAGGAAGCUAGCAAGUAUGUGGAGAGGGUGAUUAACAAAGGAAUGGAGGUGCCAAGGUUUGAUUAUAACAAGUUUUUGAACUGCUUUUCGAACGAAGAACAGUUUGAGGAUGUGGGGAAGAAGGUGAGAGAGGUGAGACUGUUUGAUUUGGUAGACAUACUUGAGAGUUAUGGACAGAAGAUGGCUACCAGAGACAGGAGAAGAACCAGAAGUCCAUAACAUAGCAGUAUUUUAUGGCUUAUUCACAGAUAUGAAUAACAAAGUUCUAUAAUGGGUUGGAGGUACCAUGCUGGGUUGGGACUUAUUGGAGCUUUUGUCUUAAUUGGAUGGGAUUCUCCAAAGACCAGAAACUGAUCUAAAAAGUAGUUUGAUCACCGACAAUGACAUCAAAGAAAUCGAAGAAGGGAUGUCUUUGUUCAAGAAAGAGAAAGAUGAAACUCCCUUGCUUGCACAGAGUAAUGAAAGUAGCUCAUGGAAAAUUGCCUCACUCCAAUAUGGUUUGCACACGAGUACUUUUCGGACAUGGCACUUGCAAAUACUAGUGUUGCUAGUACAACGGUUCUGAAUUCCAUGUCAGGUCUCUUUACCCUUUUCUUUGGAGCCCUUCUUGGCCAGGACUCAGUAAAUAUGACCAAAGUAGCAGCUGUUUUAAUCAGCAUGGCUGGAGUUGCCAUGACAACAAUUGGAAAAACUUGGGAAACAGAUGAGCUUAUCAGCAUCUCUGAGUAAGUUCAAAGUUUCAUUUUAAGGUGAAAAAGCCUCUUUCAUACAGUACUUCAACCCUGCAAUCCUUUAGUCCACUUCAUUAGAGUGCACAAAUGCAUAAUUCCCCAAGGAAAAUCAAUUUCAGUUUAUCUGAGGAGUUUUAGCCUUUAAUUUUGUUAAUAUGCAUAGUGAAUAGACCAAUACUGCAACUUUUGUAUCGGCAUUAUGCAGUCUCUUUUAUUCAGUGAUUGAGUAACGCCUCCAUCUUUGUUCAUCUUAGCUAACAUGUUAAAAGAUUCAAGUUGUUGCCAGGCUGAGAUAAUAGGAAAAAAAAAUAGUUGAUAUCAGUUUGUCUUAAAAAAAAUUAACAAUUUUUGUUUAAAUGGAUGUACCAAGUACAUGUAUAUGUUUCUCUUUUUAAUAGUUGAUGUUAAAAUGCAUGUUUCCCUUUAUAUUGUUUCAAUUUCUGAAAUUGGAAUUACCAAGUACUCAAAAGCAUACUAUCAUUGGGGACAUUUCUGGCCUACUCUCAGCAGUAUUUUAUGGCUUAUUCACAGGUAUGAAUAAUCAAUUGCAAUGGAUUCUACCUCAUAAUGAUAAUUCAUGUUUAAGUUCAAAUUUUGACUUAAAGAUCAUUGUGAAUCAUUGAUCAAUUAAUUGCAGUGCUUCUCAAGAACUCUGCUGGAUCAGGAGACAUGGAAAAGCUUAUUUAAGAGAACCAUUUAGUACAAUUUUUACUUAAAUUAGAGAUUGCUUAGGAGAAUCAUUAAGUACCAUGUAUAUUCAAGUGUAAGACUUUAAUUAAAUACUAAAAUUUUAUGUGAGAUAUUAUA